GCCCAGGUGGUGGAAUUGGUAGACGCGCUGGCUUCAGGUGCCAGUGGCCGCAAGGCCGUGGAGGUUCGAGUCCUCUCCUGGGCACCA
rnacentral:tRNA from 19 species